UACAGAGGGUGCGAGCGUUAAUCGGAAUUACUGGGCGUAAAGCGUGCGUAGACGGUAGCGUAAGUCAGAUGUGAAAGCCCCGGGCUCAACCUGGGAAUGGCAUUUGGGACUGCAAGGCUUGAGUGCGGCAGAGGAGACUGGAAUUCCUGGUGUAGCAGUGAAAUGCGUAGAUAUCCGGAGGAAUACCGAUGGCGAAGGCAGGUCUCUGGGCUGACACUGACGCUCAUGCACGAAAGCGUGGGGAGCAAACAGG
rnacentral:rRNA from 1 species